rnacentral:tRNA from 1 species
UUCCUGGUGGCUCAGUGGUAAAGAAUCUGCCUGCAAUGCAGGAGAUCCAGGUUCUAUCCCUGGGUCAGGGAA